AAAUAGAAGGGUGUGGCGUGGGAGAAGGAGAGAGACCAAGCCUCUAUCCAAGCCAAAGGCAGAGAGUGUAAUGGGUGCAAUUGGGCAGACACCCACUUGGCAAUUUGAGUGGGAGAAGGAGAGAGAUAGA